UCACGUGGCCGUGCAGGCUGCCCGCCGGGGCCCCGACUGCCCGGGGCAUUGUGGGAUCGCGACUCCGGGUUGCUCGCCACGGGAAUGGGAACUGACCGGGUCCGGUCACGGGAGCAUGGCGAGCGCCCGGACUCGUCGGGCUGCGGCGAGAGACUGUGGCAUGUCGCCGUGCAGCCUCUUAUCGCCGCGCGCCGGUUUCCGCCGCUGCGCGGCCCCUCCCCCGCGCCAGCCCCGCCAGGAAGGCGCGGACGCGCCGAGCUCCCACGCGCAGCCCGGCCCCGCCCGCCCGUCCGCCCGGGCCCGCGCCGCUGCUUACCGCCGCUCCAGCUCCGAGGGCUCCGCGCCCAACCCGGGAGGCCCGCAAGGUUGCUGUUGCUUUGAAUUCCAUGCCUUACUCUGCUACAGAAACAUAUCCAAAACACCCUCUGAGAAAUGUCAGAGUGUCAGAGAAGUUGCUGGUCUAUCUGCGGGAUCUGUGUUUGACAAGCAGCACCUCACAGAGCUCUGUUUUCUGCCAGACUCUCUUCACAAGUGGCAAAAGUAUCAAGUUUUUGCUCUGCAAAAGGAUAGUGGACAAAAAAGAGGAAGUUGCAAAAUACCAGCCAGUAUGCUUUUUCAAUUCUACAAAGAAGAGAAAUUAUUCACGAGGCCCUUAAAAGCAUGGAAAAUGAAGUAUAAUUUGUGCAUUUCUUCAUUUAUAAUUAAUAUAUGCACAUAUUUACUUAAACAAACU
rnacentral:lncRNA from 1 species